AUUGAACGCUGGCGGCAGGCCUAACACAUGCAAGUCGAGCGAGCGGCGGACGGGUGAGUAAUGUAUGGGGACUGCCCGAUAGAGGGGGAUAACUACUGGAAACGGUAGCUAAUACCGCAUACUAUCGGAAAACCCAGAUGGGAUUAGCUAGUGGGUGAGGUAAUGGCUCACCUAGGCGACGCUCCCUAGCUGGUCUGAGAGGAUGAUCAGCCACACGGGGACUGAGACACGGCCCAGAUUCCUACGGAGGCAGCAGUGGGGAAUAUUGCACAAUGGGCGCAAGCCUGAUGCAGCCAGGCCGCGUGUAUGAAGAAGGCCCUAGGGUUGUAAAGUACUUUCAGUCGGGAGGCGUUACCGACAGAAGAAGCACCGGCUAACUCCGUGCCAGCAGCCGCGGUAAUUC
rnacentral:rRNA from 1 species